CUCACACAGGCACUUACCCGAGUAGGCCCAGUAGGGGUCCCCGGAGGCCUUGCGCCUGCGGAUCUGCGAGGAGCUGCUGUGUCUGCUGUCCUGAAGGGAGCCCACGUAGCCUUCGGUCAAGGCCGGAAAGCACACGCAGGGUAGGAUCCUAAUGGGCAAAGAA